AACCGGAUUAGAUACCCUGGUAGUCCACGCCCUAAACGAUGUCUACUAGUUGUCGGGUUUUAAUUAACUUGGUAACGCAGCUAACGCGUGAAGUAGACCGCCUGGGGAGUACGGUCGCAAGAUUAAAACUCAAAGGAAUUGACGGGGACCCGCACAAGCGGUGGAUGAUGUGGAUUAAUUCGAUGCAACGCGAAAAACCUUACCUACCCUUGACAUGUACGGAAGACCGAAGAGAUUUGGUUGUGCUCGAAAGAGAACCGUAACACAGGUGCUGCAUGGCUGUCGUCAGCUCGUGACGUGAGAUGUUGGGUUAAGUCCCGCAACGAGCGCAACCCUUGUCAUUAGUUGCUACAUUCAGUUGAGCACUCUAAUGAGACUGCCGGUGACAAACCGGAGGAAGGUGGGGAUGACGUCAAGUCCUCAUGGCCCUUAUGGGUAGGGCUUCACACGUCAUACAAUGGUACAUACAGAGGGCCGCCAACCCGCGAGGGGGAGCUAAUCCCAGAAAGUGUAUCGUAGUCCGGAUCGCAGUCUGCAACUU
rnacentral:rRNA from 1 species